GGUUGCAAUCGUCUUGUUGUUAACUCGUACAAUAUAGAAGUGAUUGACACAAUGAAGAAUGCAGGACACUCGGCCGGUGUGGCGGCUAUAGUUUUCUAUGAUUGCUAUUUUUUGGCUUGUGGUUUUUCUUUUAUUAGAUUUGAACAUUGUAACAGGGAAGUAAAUAAGGUGGCUCAUGAAAUUGCUAAGCUAGCGAAUUUUUUUGUUAUUAGUGAUUGGUUUGAGGAGCCUAUGAAUGAGAUUGUACUUUUUUUUAUUGACGAUGUAACAGUUGUUUCUAAUUAA
rnacentral:rRNA from 1 species